AGGGCGGAAUGACAGCGGCGAGGAGAACGUCCCGCUGGAUCUGACCCGAGAACCUUCUGAUAACUUGAGGGAGAUUCUCCAAAAUGUGGCCAAAUUACAAGGAGUAUCAAAUAUGAGAAAGCUGGGCCAUCUGAAUAACUUCACAAAGCUGCUUUGUGAUAUUGGCCAUAGUGAAGAAAAGCUGGGCUUUAAUUAUGAAGACAUCAUAAUUUGUUUACGCUUAGCUUUAUUAAAUGAGGCGAAAGAAGUGAGAGCAGCAGGGUUGCGAGCGCUGCGCUAUCUCAUCCAAGAUUCCAGUAUUCUGCAGAAGGUGCUAAAACUGAAGGUGGAUUAUUUAAUAGCUAGGUGCAUUGACAUUCAGCAGAGCAAUGAGGUGGAGAGGACACAAGCCCUUCGCUUAGUCAG
rnacentral:lncRNA from 1 species